GAUGAACGCUGGCGGCGUGCCUAAUACAUGCAAGGCGAGCGAACAGACGAGGAGAUUGCUCCUCUGACGUUAGCGGCGGACGGGUGAGUAACACGUGGAUAACCUAACGAUAAUGCUGGGCUAACUUCGGGAAACCGGAGCUACUACCGGAUAAUAUAUUGAACCGCAUGGUUCAAUAGUGAAAGGCGGUUUUGCUGUCACUUAUAGAUGGAUCCGCGCCGCAUUAGCUAGUUGGUAAGGUAACGGCUUACCAAGGCAACGAUGCGUAGCCGACCUGAGAGGGUGAUCGGCCACACUGGAACUGAGACACGGUCCAGACUCCUACGGGAGGCAGCAGUAGGGAAUCUUCCGCAAUGGGCGAAAGCUUGACGGAGCAACGCCGCGUGAGUGAUGAAGGUCUUCGGAUCGUAAAACUCUGUUAUUAGGGAAGAACAAAUGUGUAAGUAACUAUGCACGUCUUGACGGUACCUAAUCAGAAAGCCACGGCUAACUACGUG
rnacentral:rRNA from 1 species